rnacentral:rRNA from 1 species
CCUACGGGAGGCAGCAGUGGGGAAUAUUGGACAAUGGGGGCAACCCUGAUCCAGCCAUGCCGCGUGUGUGAAGAAGGCCUUCGGGUUGUAAAGCACUUUCAGUGGGGAGAUGCUACCCACAGAAGAAGCACCGGCUAACUCCGUGCCAGCAGCCGCGGUAAUACGGAGGGUGCAAGCGUUAAUCGGAAUUACUGGGCGUAAAGCGUACGUAGGUGGUUUGUUAAGCUAGCUGUGAAAUCCCCGGGCUCAACCUGGGCACUGCAGUUAGAACUGGCAAGCUAGAGUAGGGUAGAGGGGUGUGGAAUUCCAGGUGUAGCGGUGAAAUGCGUAGAUAUCUGGAGGAACAUCAGUGGCGAAGGCGACACCCUGGACCAACUGACACUGAGGUACGAAAGCGUGGGGAGCAAACAGGAUUAGAUACCCUAGUAGUC